CCACAUCCACUGAUAGACCUUGAACAACCUGAUGCCAUUUUUUGGUUUGUACCAGGAUGUGAAAGAAAAAAAUUCCUGCACUUUCUGUCUUUGUCAUGGUCUACAUUGAAUAGGGGACUAUAUCU